AUGUUGCCAAAGUUCAGAAAAACAAACAAAGUGCUGCCAAAUUUUAGUUCAGUUUCAUUAUCACAGUACAUGAUCAAUAUCUGGAUACAUCAACACUGGAUACAUCAUACUACCACAUCACUUCUUAAAACCUACAUACACCACUAUUGCAAUCAGUACAACAAGUGCACUAAGAAUACUCUUACAAAGAAAAAUGAGCUCAUUCAUCUUCUUCACUACAUCUGCAUACACCACAGUCUCAAAAGUGCUCUGCAUUGCUCCUGGACAUUCCUCUUGCACCUUUGUUUCUUCACUUGCAAUGCCACCAGCUGA
rnacentral:rRNA from 1 species